GCCGAGUACUUUGCUCCCAAUGCCAAAAAGAGAUGGUUUGUUUCUAUGUAUGGUAGUGGCCGGCAAACAACUGGAGUUUUUUCUCAGGACGGGUGGCACUGUGAGAUAUGUAAUCGGAAACCUGGACGUGGUUUCGAGGCCACUGUGGAAGUCCUUCCCCGGCUUUUUAAGAUAAAGUAUGAGAGUGGCACAUUGGAGGAACUUUUAUAUGUUGAUAUGCCGAG